rnacentral:rRNA from 1 species
UACGGGGGGAGCAAGCGUUGUCCGGAAUUAUUGGGCGUAAAGAGCUUGUAGGCGGUUUGUCGCGUCUGCCGUGAAAAUUCGAGGCUCAACCUCGAACUUGCGGUGGGUACGGGCAGACUAGAGUGUGGUAGGGGAGACUGGAAUUCCUGGUGUAGCGGUGAAAUGCGCAGAUAUCAGGAGGAACACCGAUGGCGAAGGCAGGUCUCUGGGCCACUACUGACGCUGAGAAGCGAAAGCAUGGGGAGCGAACAGG